rnacentral:ncRNA from 2 species
CGCUUAUCAAGAGCGACCGAGGGAACAGGCCCAAUGACGUCCGGCAACCUCCCGCAAUCGGGAACGGUGCCACAUCCUGCAGAAUGGCUUUCAUUCUGAAAGAUAAGUC